rnacentral:rRNA from 1 species
UACAGAGGUCUCAAGCGUUGUUCGGAUUCAUUGGGCGUAAAGGGUGCGUAGGUGGCGGGGUAAGUCAGGUGUGAAAUUUCGGAGCUUAACUCCGAAACUGCAUUCGAUACUGCCGUGCUUGAGGACUGGAGAGGAGACUGGAAUUUACGGUGUAGCGGUGAAAUGCGUAGAUAUCGUAAGGAAGGCCAGUGGCGAAGGCGGGUCUCUGGACAGUUCCUGACGCUGAGGCACGAAGGUCAGGGGAGCAAACGGG